rnacentral:rRNA from 1 species
AUUGAACGCUGGCGGCAGGCCUAACACAUGCAAGUCGAACGAGUGGCGGACGGGUGAGUAAUGUCUGGGAAACUGCCCGAUGGAGGGGGAUAACUACUGGAAACGGUAGUUAAUACCGCAUACCAUCGGAUGUGCCCAGAUGUGAUUAGCUAGUAGGUGGGGUAACGGCUCACCUAGGCGACGACCCCUAGCUGGUAUGAGAGGAAGACCAGCCACACGGGAACUGAGACACGGUCCAGACUCCUACGGGAGGCAGCAGUGGGGAAUAUUGGACAAUGUGCGAAAGCCUGAUGCAGCCAUGCCGCGUGUAUGAAGAAGGCUUUCGGGUUGUAAAGUACUUUCAGCGAGGAGGCGUUACUCGCAGAAGAAGCACCUGCUAACUCCGUGCCAGCAGCCGCGGUAAUAC